UCUCUAUGGGAAAUAAUCUCGAUUAUAAACAAGGGGGGACCCGGCCGCGAAAAGAUGAAUGGAUGGGGCCAGCGCGACGUCACAGCGAGCUGCAGCCAUGAAGCUCAAGACCAGGCGCGAGCCAACCUACAAGCGCUCAGUUGUUCUACAUCUCUUGACUCGCUCGGUUGAUUGUUGUGGAGAGCGUUUGUAACCGUGGCUGGCAGACACCGGGGUCAGAAUCUGGCCCUUGCGUAUCACCUGUGGCACAAGAGGAUGGGCAGCCUUAGGGGUUGGUUGUUAUCUUUGGUUAUCUAGCUGUAUGAGUGAUGUACAUUCUUCAUAAAGCUAGAUAACCGAAAGUAACAAGAAUCCCAUUACGCUCCUGAAAGGCAUCAAGAUCCCCAACACAUACCCCCCAUGCCGCACCACCCCAUUCUACCAUUCACAGAAAAACAAGCAAAACAAUGGCCGACAUCAUAGGACAUGGGAGCAGAAGAAAAAGUCAAACUACCAACACCACCGUGACAGAAUGUUGGCAAAAUGAGGCUGAAAAACAAGGAGAGGAAGAGAGGUUGCUGUUGACUUUGCCUCCCUCUUCUCGCCCUCCUCCGUAUCGCCUCUCCCCUUCUCCCCUCCCUCGCUUCAUCCUCAGCUGCCUUCCCCAUUCUCCUGUACCGCGAGACGUAGCCCACGCCACCAUCUUAGGACGACGCUCGCUGGCAUGAAAUGGAAGUGAGGACCAGAGAGAGCAGGCAAAUAAUGGUCCAGAACACUGAUAGAGGGCA